UGGAUCAGUGAUAUAACUGCCAGGGUAGGAGUCAUGCGUGAUGAAGGAUGUGUGUGUGGAACCCCGAGGUCCAA